rnacentral:lncRNA from 1 species
AAGAAAGCCUGUGUGAACCAGAAGGUCAAGGUUAAGAGUGGACCCAUCUGCAGGUCAGGGCUGUUGUUAACACUGAAAAAGGAGGAAACAGUCAGCAGUUCCACCAUGAGUAGCAGCCAACAUGAACUUGUCAAGAAUAAAUCACAUCUUUAUUGUCAGGUAGGCACCUAAAAA